rnacentral:rRNA from 1 species
GACGAACGCUGGCGGCGUGCCUAAUACAUGCAAGUCGAACGCAGUGGGGACGGGUGAGUAAAACGUGGGUAACCUCCCAUCAGAGGGGAUAACACUUGGAAACAGGUGCUAAACCGAUACCGAUGGAUGGACCCGCGGUGCAUUAGCUAGUUGGUGAGGUAACGGCUGGCCAAGGCCACGCUGCAUGGCCGACCUGGUAGGAUGAGCGGCCGCACGGGGACGGGGAGACGGCCCAGACGCCUACGGGCGUCAGCAGUGGGGAAUCUGCGGCAAUGGACGAAGGUCUGACCGAGCAACGCCGCGUGAGUGAAGGAGGUGUUCGGAUCGUGAGACUCUGUUGUUAGAGAAGCGGUAUCUGGCCAGAAAGCCACGGCUAACUACGUGCCAGCAGCCGCGGUAAUAC